AGUGAACGCUGGCGGUAGGCCUAACACAUGCAAGUCGAACGGCAGCACAGUAAGAGCUUGCUCUUACGGGUGGCGAGUGGCGUACGGGUGCGGAAUACCUCGGAAUCUACUUUUUCGUGGGGGAUAACGUAGGGAAACUUACGCUAAUACCGCAUACGACCUACGGGUGAAAGCAGGGGAUCUUCGGACCUUGCGCGACUGAAUGAGCCGAUGUCGGAUUAGCUAGUUGGCGGGGUAAAGGCCCACCAAGCCGACGAUCCGUAGCUGGUCUGAGAGGAGGAUCAGCCACACUGGAAGUGAGACACGGUCCAGACUCCUACGGGAGGCAGCAGUGGGGAAUAGUGGACAAUGGGCGGAAGCCUGAUCCAGCCAUCCCGCGUGGGUGAAGAAGGCCUUCGGGUUGUAAAGCCCUUUUGUUGGGAAAGAAAAGCAGCAGGUUAAUACCGCGCUGUUCUGACGGUACCCAAAGAAUAAGCACCGGCUAACUUCGUG
rnacentral:rRNA from 1 species